rnacentral:misc_RNA from 1 species
UUAAUUCUUAGAAUCAUAUCAGACGCAGACCAUAUCUCAGCAUAAAAGCGACGCCGGAGCGCCGAACCACAAUUGCUAUCCACGGGUUUUUGGCAAGGUUUGAAGGCCGACUGGCCAUUCAUUAAUGAUCCCUCCGCAGGUUCACCUACGGAAA